GUGCCGUAUUGCUCUACCUAAAGCAGGCAAGUCAAAGAAAAAUAAACCAGAUAUUAAAGACAGUUUUGUGCCAUAAUUCAUUGUAAUUUUGUGACAUAACAAUAAGUAGAUGCAUAAAUGCAGUGCUUAUGCAAUGGAUACUGAAGGAAGCAAGCCAAAGUUUUGGUUACUGAAGUCUACUCUGUUGAUGCUCAUCAAGUU
rnacentral:misc_RNA from 1 species